rnacentral:lncRNA from 1 species
CUUGCCUGGUGUUGUUUUCCUUCUUGGAUUGAUAACUGAUUGAGUCAAUCUUUUGGAUUGAUUGAGUCAAUCUAUUUCUUUAGUUGGUGCAUAUUGUGAGUCAAUCUAUCUCCUUAGUUGGUGCAGAUUGUCUCGUGUCACUCAGUCUUCUUUGGUGAGGCUGUUGAUCUUCGUGUUCCUUCUUUGAUUCCCUGCGAUAUGAAUUUAGCUUGUCAUUGUUCAGAAUAUCAUAAGUUAAUAAAGCGGUCUUCAUAAGACCAGAAAAUCACAUAAAUAAAUAGAUAAUUCUUGCUCUUCAGUUGUGAUAUGCAAGUCUUUUGCAUACAAAGAAGUCUUCGUUGUGUUGAACCGCAAGUAUUUCAUCAAAUCAAAAAUAAUCGUGAAGAGAAGAAUCGGGGAAUUACAUAUCUUUUCUUAGAGAUUUCAAAAAGAUUGUAACAUUCGCAUAAAUUCAAAUAUAAAUACUAUUUUUCACUUGCUAUUUUCCUUUCUCGAUUGUUGUAUUUCAGGAAUGAAACUUUAGACGCAUACAAGAGAUAGAUGUGAAAGAGGUAAAACUAACUUUGAAUAUGAUUUGUAUAGACAAUGAAGAUACAUUAUUGAAUGCAAAGGUGAGAUGCAGUCACAGUCUCUUACUCUAUGUGAAGACUUCUUGAUCCGACAACAAUUUCAAAAGAGAAUUUAGUCUUUUUCAUAUAAUGGCGCAAAAAAAAGUGUAAAAAAAGAAAAGUAUUGUAAAAAAAAAUGUCAUUCAUUUUUAAACAUAUCAAAAUGAAAGUAGGUCAUUUUUAUUUUUAAACAAAUGAAAAAUAGGUCUUAAACCCUACAUAUUGAUAUUUUUAAAGAUUUUCCACUAAGGAAUAAAAUGCAUUUUUUUUUAGAGAUGUUCGAGUAAGAAUUAGGGAUGGCAAUGAGGCAGUGUGGGACGGAACAAAUUGAGCUUAAACAAUAAAAAAUUUAAUUUGUCCCCCAUUCCAAGUAACAAUUUUUUUCAUUUCAACCCGCCCUGCAUAGACCCGCUCCGCAUGAACCCGCCUCACAUAAUUUUUUAAUAUUUUUUUUCUAGUUAACUUUGAUACUUUAAAUAAACUCCACUUGGGGUUCAACCCAUCGAGAUUUAAAUCUAAGAAAAUGAACGGACUAACUCUAGAAUGGUGAUAGCAAACCCACGACGCUAAAACAAUACAUAAGGAGACCAUAGAGAAGUACAUUGACGCAUAUGUUCAGCUAAUAAAAAUUUAGAUGAUUACCUGUAGAAUCGAUCUAUCAGCAGCCGAGUUGAGUUGAUAAGCUUUAUUAAUGGUGGAGCAGCAAGCUGUUACGGGAGGAAACAUAGUGCAACCAUCAACAAUAGAGAACAAAUCGACAAGUCACCAACAAUGUUUGAGCAAAGCACCGAAGAAGAUGAAGACUUCCUGUCACUUUCCUAAUUUGAUACUAAUGUCUAAGUCCUGUAUUGUUCUUUUUUUGUUUUUAGGCCAGACCACUUUUGGGCCUGGUCUUGU